ACUCUCUUAGUAUAACCAGUACAACCGACUUCCAAUCAGUUAGCUCUAGUCUGAACCUAGAAGAGAGUA
rnacentral:tRNA from 1 species